rnacentral:rRNA from 1 species
GCGACGCCGCGUGAACGAUGAAGUCCUUCGGGAUGUAAAGUUCUGUCAGCAGGGAAAAUAAUGAUGGUACCUGCAGAGGAAGGCCCGGCAAACUAUGUGCCAGCAGCCGCGGUAAUACAUAGGGGCCAAGCGUUGUCCGGAUUUACGGGCGUAAAGGGCUCGUAGGCGGCGAUCUAAGUCAGAAUUAAAAGGCAGGGGCUUAACCCCUGUUCGGUUUUGAAACUGGAUCGCUAGAGAUUUAGAGAGGAAAGCGGAAUUAACAGUGUAGCGGUGAAAUGCGUAGAUAUUGUUAAGAACACCCGUGGCGAAGGCGGCUUUCUGGCUAAAAUCUGACGCUGAGGAGCGAAAGCGUGGGUAGCAAACAGGAUUAGAUACCCUGGUAGUCCACGCUGUAAACGAUGUACAUUAGGUAUGGGAGGUAUCGACCCCUUCUGUGCCGAAGCUAACGCGUUAAAUGUACCGCCUGGGGAGUACGAUCGCAAGAUUAAAACUCAAAGGAAUUGACGGGGGCCCGCACAAGCAGUGGAUUAUGUGGUUUAAUUCGACGAUACCCGAAGAACCUUACCAGAACUUGACAUCUGGGGAAUGCUGUAGAAGUACAGCAGUGCCCGCAAGGGAGCCUCAAGACAGGUGGUGCAUGGUUGUCGUCAGCUCGUGUCGUGAGAUGUUAGGUUAAGUCCUGCAACGAGCGCAACCCUCGUGCUGUGUUACUACAUUUAGUUGAGUACUCUCAGCAGACUGCCCGUGGCAAACGGGAGGAAGGUGGGGAUGACGUCAAAUCAUCAUGCCCUUUAUGUUCUGGGCUACACACAUAAUACAAUGGUCGGUACAAAGGGACGCCAACCCGCAAGGGGGAGCAAAUCUCAAAAAACCGGCCCCAGUUCAGAUUGUAGGCUGCAACCCGCCUGCAUGAAGAUGGAAUUGCUAGUAAACGCAGAUCAGAAUGCUGCGUUGAAUACGUUCCCGGGCCUUGUACACACCGCCCGUCACACCAUGAAAGCCGGAAAUAUCCGAAGUCAGCAAGCCAACCGCAAGGAAGCAGCUGCCUAAGAUAGAGUCGGUGAUUGGGGUGAAGUCGUAACAAGGUAGCCGUACCGGAAGGUG